rnacentral:rRNA from 1 species
AUUGAACGCUGGCGGCAGGCCUAACACAUGCAAGUCGAACGGUAACAGGAAGAAGCCUGCUUCUUUGCUGACGAGUGGCGGACGGGUGAGUAAUGUCUGGGAAACUGCCUGAUGGAGGGGGAUAACUACUGGAAACGGUAGCUAAUACCGCAUAAUGUCGCAAGACCAAAGAGGGGGACCUUCGGGCCUCUUGCCAUCGGAUGUGCCCAGAUGGGAUUAGCUAGUAGGUGGGGUAACGGCUCACCUAGGCGACGAUCCCUAGCUGGUCUGAGAGGAUGACCAGCCACACUGGAACUGAGACACGGUCCAGACUCCUACGGGAGGCAGCAGUGGGGAAUAUUGCACAAUGGGCGCAAGCCUGAUGCAGCUAUGCCGCGUGUAUGAAGAAGGCCUUCGGGUUGUAAAGUACUUUCAGCGGGGAGGAAGGGAGUAAAGUUAAUACCUUUGCUCAUUGACGUUACCCGCAGAAGAAGCACCGGCUAACUCCGUG